CAUCUUUUCUUGUUAGUUUUUGAAGUAUGGCCUGCCCGCUGACUUAUUGUUGAAGGGCCGCGGUAUUUUGACCGUGCAAAGGUAGCAUAAUCAUUAGUUCUUUAAUUGUGAUCUGGUAUGAAUGGCUUGACGAGGCAUGAGCUGUCUUGAGGGUAUUAUUUGUUGAAUUUAGUUUUUGAGUUAAAAUUCUUAGAUGUUUUUAUGGGACGAGAAGACCCUAUAGAGUUUAACAUUUAUUUUUGUUAUAAUUUUGUUUGUUUUUUCUGUUGACUAGGUUAAGUGUUUUGUUGGGGUGAUGGGAGGAAUUUUUUUAACUCUUCUUUAUUUUUGUAUAUUGAUUAAUAUUUCUUUUGAUCCAUUUAUUUUGAUUAUAAGAUUAAAUUACCUUAGGGAUAACAGCGUUAUCUUCCUUGAGAGUUCUUAUUGGCGGGGAGGUUUGCGACCUCGAUGUUGGAUUAAGGUGAAUUUUCGGUGCAGGAGCUGAAAGUGAUUAGGUCUGUUCGACCUUUAAAAUCUUACGUGAUCUG
rnacentral:rRNA from 1 species